ACCCUGUUCCCUCCUCCUGUUGUCCUGGUAUUCAUCCGCUAGUCUGGCAGCUUCCUCUACGGUUUUAGGCUUUCUGUCUUUUACCCAAUCUUUUAUAUCGUCUGCAGUAUGAUUAAAGAAUUGUUCCAAUAGCAUAAGUUGUAAGGCAUCCUCCAGGGUAGUUGCUUGGCAGUCCUGCAUCCAAUUACGGGCUGCCCUGUG